AACUAAUGAGCUUGAACUAAGCCUAUAUCUUGAAAAUAUAAGAAAGAGGUAAAAAUCUCUAUUAGUUU
rnacentral:tRNA from 1 species